rnacentral:rRNA from 1 species
AUGUCAGGUCGGUUUAACGGAUUGGAGUUCCACCAUGUUAAACGUGAUGACAAUGUAGUGGUUGAUGCACUGGCCAAGAUGGGUGCAUGGCCUGACCCUGUGCCCUCAAACAUCUUCCUCGAGCAGCUCUUCAAUCCGUCUAUCAAGUUGCAGGCUGACCAGGAACCGGCCUCGGAGGUUGGGGGCUCUGAACCUGACCACACAGAGGCCGAGGGCUCAGACCCUGGCAUACGCAAACGCAGAGACCGGUGGCUUGGGGCUGAGAUAACAUCAUCAGCCCACGAGGUCAUGGCGGUAAUUCCGGCUUGGACCGAGCCCAUCCUGGCCUAUCUUAUCCAAGGUGAGCUCCCCGAGGACAAGACAGUAGCCCGGCACAUAGUUCGCCGAUCUGCAGCGUAUGCCGAGCACAACGGAGAGUUGUACAAGCGCAGCAUCACCUGUCUUCCAGCGAUGCGUCUCUCCUGA